AAGCAAGGUGAGCCAAUUCAGCAAUACUUACCUUGGUUGAGGGAUAUCUAUGAUUACCCAACCUAUAACAACUGUCAAGAGGGAAGGUUUUGAGACUGAUCUGCACUUUAGUCAGAUAUGAUGGUUUCUUCUGAUGUAUAAACACAUGCAAGCAGGAAAAGGAUAAAUGUGCAUACAUCUUGUGCUCUGAUGCCAUGAUGGUCCUGCAGUGUCCAGGAACAAAUAUGGGAGUUGCAGAGAGAAAGCUGUGUUAUCUCUCUCUGCUAUACUGGAGAGAGAUAAGCCUCACAAACAUGUACAAGGCCCCAGCAGCUGAGAGAAGGUGUGAAGGAUAGGGAAGAGAAGACAGAAGGUCCUGGAGAGGACAGGGUCUUGCCUUUUCUCCCUGGUGCCCAGUGCUUCUACAGCAC